UACGUAGGGUGCGAGCGUUAAUCGGAAUUACUGGGCGUAAAGCGUGCGCAGGCGGUUCGUUGUGUCGGCGGUGAAAGCCCCGGGCUCAACCUGGGAAUGGCCGGUGAAACUGGCGAACUGGAGUGUGGCAGAGGGGGGUGGAAUUCCGCGUGUAGCAGUGAAAUGCGUAGAGAUGCGGAGGAACACCGAUGGCGAAGGCAGCCCCCUGGGCUGACACUGACGCUCAGGCACGAAAGCGUGGGGAGCAAACAGG
rnacentral:rRNA from 1 species